rnacentral:lncRNA from 1 species
GUAAGAGUCAAACCAUACAACUGAUUUUUUGUCAGGACUUGCUUGAACUGUCCAGGUCUCAUAGUAAAUGCCAGUCUCAUUGUCGUACUUCACCCAUUUUGCCAUUUCAUUGAACAUGGUUCCUGAUAUUUUGGUGAUGAGAACCAGAGUUCCAUUUUCCUUCCAAUGUGCAUCAUCUAUUCCUUCAUAAAAGCAAGCAGCUCCCUG